rnacentral:rRNA from 1 species
UAGUCUUUUAAUUGGAGGCUUGUAUGAAUGGUUGGACAAAAAGUAAGCUGUCUCAGUUAUAUUAUUUGAAUUUAACUUUUAAGUGAAAAGGCUUAAAUGAACUAGAGGGACGAUAAGACCCUAUAAAGCUUUACAAUUAUUUAAUUAGAUUAUAAAUUGUUGGUAUAACUUGAUUUAAUUAAUAUUUGUUUCGUUGGGGCGACGAGAAUAAAAUUAAAAUAACUGUUCUUUUAUUAGUAGUUACAAAUUUGUUUGGUUAAAAAUUGAUCCUUUAUUAGAGAUCAAAAGAUUAAGUUACUUUAGGGAUAACAGCGUAAUUCUCUUUGAGAGUCCAUAUCGACAAGAGGGGUUGCGACCUCGAUGUUGAAUUAAAGUA